rnacentral:rRNA from 1 species
UAUCUCUGUAGAGUCUGCAUAUCAAUAAGCGGAGGAAAAGAAACUAACUAGGAUUCCCUCAGUAACGGCGAGUGAAGCGGGAAGAGCUCAAAUUUGAAAUCUUCGAAGGUUCUACCUUGACGAAUUGUAGUUUAAAGAAGCUGUUUUCUGUUGGAUGUUUUGGUAAAAGUUCUUUGGAAUAGGACAUCAUAGAGGGUGGGAAUCCCGUAUUUGACCAUUUACUUCCAGCGUUUGUGAUACACUUUCAAAGAGUCGGAUUGUUUGGGAAUGCAGUCCAAAAUGGGUGGUAAAUUUCAUCUAAAGCUAAAUACUUGGCGAGAGACCGAUAGCGAACAAGUACCGUGAGGGAAAGAUGAAAAGAACUUUGAAAAGAGAGUUAAACAGUACGUGAAAUUGUCAAGAGGGAAGCGUUUGACACCAGUGUUGCUUUCUUCUCGAAAAUCAAUUAAAAAAGGCAGGAUUUUGUGUUGUAUUGACUUUAUCAGCUUUCUGCACUCUUUUCUUGUCUCUUUUAAUGCACUUUUCGUUUAACAAGUCAACAUCAAUUUCUUUUGUUGUAAAAGGGUCAUUGGAAGGUGGCUUUCUUUUCGGAGAAAGUGUUUAUAGCCUUUGGCCUCUGCAAUCGGAGAGAUUGAGGUCUGCAGCGUAGAUCCUUCGGGGUUAGAUACAUUUGUGCUAAGUUAUAGCCUUUCAUAGACAACUUGUUGACUAUGAUCAGUCAUGUAGCUUACUCGCUUAUGCUAUUUUACCUACGCUUAGGAUGUUGACGAUCAGCUGAGCGCG